rnacentral:lncRNA from 1 species
CGAGCCUACAUCGCUUGCUGUGGUGUUGCUUGCAGUGGCAUCCUAGAUUCUAACCAUUACAUCUCUUUAUAUCCUAUCUCUUCAAUGCCUUGCAUACCAUCAUACCCUGCCUCUUACAAUACCCUCCAGCGUAUCCUACAUCCCUUGAUACCCCAUUUCACAAGAUAUCUUGCAUCUCUUGAUACCUUGCCUCCCUCAAUAUUCCACCUCCAUAUAUGCCUCGCCUUCCUUAAUACCCUACCUCUUUCAAUAUUCUCGUUUCUUUGUCUAAUCCAAACACCCCUCACAGACUUCAAUUCAUACUCAAAACAAAUGUAAACUC